UACGUAGGUGGCAAGCGUUGUCCGGAUUUACUGGGCGUAAAGGGCGUGCAGGCGGUCUGUUAAGUCUAGGGUGAAAGCUCCCGGCUCAACUGGGAGAGGUCCUUGGAUACUGGCGGACUUGAGGGAGGCAGAGGAAAGUGGAAUUCCCGGUGUAGUGGUGAUAUGCGUAGAUAUCGGGAGGAACACCAGUGGCGAAGGCGGCUCACUGGCCCGAUACUGACGCCGAGGUGCGAAAGCGUGGGGAGCAAACAGG
rnacentral:rRNA from 1 species